rnacentral:lncRNA from 1 species
AGUUUGUAUAAUAUUUAUUUUUUUUUGUUUUUUCCUUUAAAGCAGCAAAUACCUGUACUGCAUUUUGAGAUCUUUGAUGCACUACUUAUUAUCCAAACCAUGGCCUGCUUUUUUCCUAACAUACAAACUUCUAAAUUAUGGCAGAGGAAUCAAGAACACAUGGUUAUCACAGAGUUUACUACAAGGCACUCUGCUAUUCAGCUGAGCUGCUCUUCCUCGAAAUGGCUCUUUGUAUCUCCACUAGACUGACAGCUCUGAUGGAAGAUGUGUCUUGGCUGGAGGGGACGGUCUGCUGCUGGACAGGUCACUUGAUGGCUAUUCAGGUCUGUUACUCCCAGACCGGGACAGGAAUACCCUCCUCACAUAAGCAAGGAACAACUCCAAAGAAGAACUGGAAUAAAAGAUGUCACUAA